rnacentral:tRNA from 1 species
ACUAUUUUGGCAGAAAUUUAAUGCAAUAAAUUUAGAAUUUAUUAAUGUAAUAUUAUAUUACAAAUAGUA